AUGGAAUUGAAGAAAACGAAAAUGUACCAUACGAGACACUGGAUGGAACGCAGCGUACUUUCAAUGAUCACAUGUAUGUCUCAGCAAACGUCCAAAGAUCCGAAGAUACAGAUACUGCUGCAUGCGAAAACUAUGUGAACAUGCAACGUUAACAUCUUUGAAGAAGACGUAAAAUGUACAUGAAAGAUACAUGAAGAAUUACACAUUUUUUGUAUUUUGAUAAAUAUAACUUCAAUAAAUUUUAAGUUUACGUGGAUAUAAUGUUACAAACAUUUUACACAAACCAUAUCUAUAGCAGAUUAACUUGCUAUAUGGAAGCAUUUUUAUACUCCUAGGAAAUAAAUAUUCGGACGAAAUAA